rnacentral:lncRNA from 1 species
CCGUGGCCCAGGGCUGGACUUUACGUAAAGCACGCACCUGGGGCGUGAGAGCCGGGUUUAUUAUUAAUUCGCGGCUAAGCUACAACCGGGAUGAUUUAAGUGGAUUUAUCCGCAGGGAAGAUGAUGGGAGGGCAUUCCCAGCAGGGAGAAUCGUGGUUUGAGGAGUUGCACUGUGGAUGUUUGGGGCCAGACCAUCCUCUGGGGCGGGGCUGUCUUGGGCACUGUUGGGUGCUGUGCAGAGUUCAUGGCCUCCACCCACUCCGUGUCAGGAGCACCCCCCAGUGGUGACAACCGUAAAUGUCCCCAGACCUGGCCAAAUGUCUCUUGCGGGCAGAAUCUCCCCUAUAAUAUAGCCAGAGGCAUAUGCAAAGCACCUAAACGGAGUGGGGAGAAGGUGCGUGACCCCUGGUCUGGG